rnacentral:lncRNA from 12 species
GGGCAAAACCCAUCCCUUCAAGGCAGGAAAUGUCUGAAAACUAAUUUUCUUGUGAAUAUUGUUAGUCUGUGACAUACUCUUUUCAUAGUAAAAGUUUUCUUUGCUUCAUUUUCAAACAGAAAUGUUCCAGAUACAGACAGUUCUACCAAAAACUUCAAGUUUCAGCAGGAAAAAAGAUGUGGCUGUGUGAGCUGAGCAGGGCCCACUGGAGUCAGAGCUGUUUUGUU